AAGUUAAGCGGUUCGAGCUGAAUUAAGCGCAGAAGUUCGGUACAAAGAAUAAUAACUAGAAAAUGCAUUUCCUGAAGGAAAUACCAGUGCAUGAAAUGCAAAAGUUAAGAAAGGAAGAAAAAAAAAAGAAGAGUGAAAGAACGAAAGAAGAGUGGAAGAAGAGUAAAAGAAGGAAAGAAGUGAGGAAGAAGGAAAGAAGAGUGGAAGAAGGAAAGAAGAAAGGAAAGAAGAGUGAAGAAAGGAAAGAAGAAAAAGAAAGAAGAGUGAAAGAAGGAAAGAAGAAAGAAAAGAAGAGUAGAAGAAGGAAAGAAGAGUGGAAGAAGGAAAGAAGAGUGAAGAAAGAAAAGAAGAGUAGAAGAAGGAAAGAAGAGUGGAAGAAGGAAAGAAGAAAGGAAAGA
ensembl:lncRNA